GUUGGAGUCCGGCUGGUGCAGGGAAACCUCCCGUCGCUGAAGCUCCGCCGAGGGCCCCAGCAGCAGCCUUAGCCAGAGUUCACAUUGCAGAUUGUAGUCCUGCGAAAAUGGGACUACAGGUGCUGCUUUCCCAUCUGAAAGGAUGGUUUUGAAUUGCUCAAGACAACAGCCUUAAUUACUAGGCAAGGGAGAGGGGACUGGACAGACAGAUGCCCGGAGACCUGCUGCUGUAAGACAGUGCUCAGGAAGUCUUCAGGAGGCCAGGACAGGAUGGAGGAGGACACUUUUCUCACCUGCCGCCACCACACAGCUCCCCUGGUCCAGUGAGUCAUCCUCUUCGCUCUGACGCAUGGUCUCUGAGUCACCUCGCUUCUGUGCCCGCCUGUUCCAAGUGUUCCAGCUGAGGUUCCUUGUCUCGGGGCCCAUGCAUUCUGAAUGGCACGGCAUGGACGAGGCUGG